rnacentral:rRNA from 1 species
UACGAAGGGGGCUAGCGUUGCUCGGAUUGACUGGGCGUAAAGGGCGCGUAGGCGGUUCGUACAGUCAGACGUGAAAUUCCUGGGCUCAACCUGGGGGCUGCGUUUGAUACGUGCGGACUUGAGUGCGGAAGAGGGUGUGGAAAUUCCCAGUGUAGAGGUGAAAAUUCGUAGAUAUUGGGGAAGAACACCGGUGGCGAAGGCGGCGACCUGGUCCGAUAC